GCAUCUUAGUACUUGCCAGCAAGCGUUACCAUGACAACCGUUGCCCCGGCUGUGUGAAGCUUGUUGACAUCCUGCAAAGAUGACCUAGCUAGCUAGCAGCAGCAAUCUCGACAGACAUGGACGACGGCGCUCAACUGGGAGAAAUUGGGCCAGUUAAAAACGUUGCAAAAUCUGGUCGUAGGGCUCGUCCUGCUGCAGACCAGUCAUCACUUGGAGAUGUUCGUAACUCCAGGAAGUCUUCCACUUCUGCCUCAGCUGGAGAAGGCCCGCCUACUAAGCCCCCCAGGAGGCAGGGCGGCUGGGCAGAAGAAAGCUCUGGAUCAGGUGCUGGCAAAUCCUCAAGAAGAGCUGCUGCUGACGACCUGGAAGAUCGCCGACUGCGACCACAAACUCCCCAAGCAUCAGAUGAUGAUGGAGAUAUUCCUGUUAUUCCAGAUCUGGAUGAAGUGCAGGAAGAUGAUCUUAACAUGCAAGUAGCAGCUCCCCCGAGCGUUCAAGUCAACCGGGUGAUGACCUACAGAGACCUGGACAAUGAUCUGAAAUAUUAUUCUGCAUUCCAGACACUAGAUGGCGAAAUCGACUUGAAGCUCCUCACAAAGGUUCUAGCACCAGAGCAAGAGGUGAAAGAGGUGAGUGAUUUUUUUUUUUUUACUAAAUAUUGCCUCUGAGCUUCUAGCAAAGAACAGUCCAGCUGUUGUCCAGAGCAUCAGGGGAGGUUGCCACUCUUCCUCCCAGGAAGAUGUGCUCUGGGACUGGGAUCAUCUGUUUACAGAGGUGUCCUCGGAGCUGCUUAUGGAAUGGGAUCAGGGAGAGAGUGAAGAGCAAGCUUCAUAAUCUACAACAUGAGCAAAAUAUCUGGUCUGAAUGGCUCCAGUGGGAA